rnacentral:misc_RNA from 1 species
UAUUCUCAACCCCUAAAUUUUUGUAAUGAAGGUUUAGCGGGCUUGGACUUGGAGGUUGUGUCGGCCCUUGUCGGUCGACUCCUCUGAAAUGCAUUAGCGUGAAUCUUACGGAUCGCCUUCAGUGUGAUAAUUAUCUGCGCUGUGGUGUUGAAGUAUUUAUGGUGUUCAUGCUUCGAACCGUCUCCUUGCCGAGACAAUCAUUUGACA